GGGAAAACCAGCAGUGUUGUUACCACACUGAAACAGAGCCUCACACCACCCUAGGUCUUCUUUACUUAGGGCCCAAGGAAGAGGGUGGAAUAAGAAUAAGAGGAAGAACAAGACCAGACAAGAAGUAGGCAUAUAGGACAUGAUUUGUGAACAGUGUGUCUCCUGCGUUUGGUUUGUGUUGAGCGGAGAGGAGCAAUUGACUUUAGAUAGAGAGCGUGAGAGAGAGAAGCAUAGAGACAGGUGACAU